AACGUAGGACACAAACGUUAUCCGGAGUUACUGGGCGUAAAGGGCGCGCAGGCGGACAUGUAAGUCUACUCUGAAAGCUCCUGGCUAAACUGGGAGAGGCGAGUGGAGACUGUGUGUCUAGAGUGAGGAAGAGGAAAGUGGAAUUCCGCGUGUAGUGGUGAAAUGCGUAGAGAUGCGGAGGAACACCAGUGGCGAAAGCGGCUUUCUGGUCCUUAACUGACGCUGAGGCGCGAAAGCAUGGGGAGCGAACGGG
rnacentral:rRNA from 1 species